AUUGAACGCUGGCGGCAGGCCUAACACAUGCAAGUCGAACGAGUGGCGGACGGGUGAGUAAUGUCUGGGAAACUGCCUGAUGGAGGGGGAUAACUACUGGAAACGGUAGCUAAUACCGCAUACCAUCAGAUGUGCCCAGAGUGGAUUAGCUUGUUGGUGGGGUAACGGCUCACCAAGGCGACGAUCCCUAGCUGGUCUGAGAGGAUGACCAGCAAAAUUGGAAAUGGGACACGGUCCAGAGUCCUACGGGAGGCAGCAGUGGGGAAGAGUGCAAAAUGGGCGCAAGCCUGAUGCAGAAAUGCCGCGUGUAUGAAGAAGGCCUUCGGGUUGUAAAGUACUUUCAGCGGGGAGGCGUUACCCGAAGAAGAAGCACCGGCUAACUCCGUGCCAGCAGCCGCGGUAAUUC
rnacentral:rRNA from 1 species